UUUCCCUCAGGAUAGCUGGCACUCGCUUGAGCGAGUCUCAUCUGGUAAAGCGAAUGAUUAGAGGCCUUGGGGCCGAAACGACCUCAACCUAUUCUCAAACUUUAAAUGGGUGAGAUCUCUGGCUUGCUUGAACGUUGAAGCCACGAGAUUAUAUAACGGAUCAGAGUGCCAAGUGGGCCAAUUUUGGUAAGCAGAACUGGCGCUGUGGGA
rnacentral:rRNA from 1 species